CUGAAAUCAAGAGAGAAAGAGAAGGAGAGUGUGAGUGUGAGGAAGAGGAAGAGGAGGAGAACGAGAUCAAAACAAAGGAUCUAAAGCACAUCCAAAAGGAAAGAUUAAACUUAGGGUUCGACAAUCACAAGGAGGGGAUUCCAGCAUUUAAAGAGAUCUUUCACAGUGCAUGUUGAAAGGACUUGAGGUAAGGAAAUUAAGUAGUUAAGUUUAUGUUAGUAUGAAAUCUUAACUUUUCAGGUACAAGAAGGGCAUGGUGAGGUACGAAAAUUUUAGGACAAUGAGUUAGUUACUCUAGAUCUGUCCAACCUUUGGCAAGGUUUACCUUACAUAUAUAAAGAAUCUCCACCCUUGGAACUUGAUUGGAUUGUUAUUUUGUAAAUGUAUUUGGUUUUACACUAAUUGUAAUAUAGUAUGGUGGUAUGCAUGAUAGUUUAUUGGCAUAUGUUUAUAGAAAUAUUAGUAAUAGCAUUUAUGUACUUGUGUUAUGUUUCUAUGCUAUGAAUGAGUAUAUGUUGUAUGCUAUUGAAUGUUUCUAUGAGAUUUCCUUAGUGGGCUUAGAAGCUCACUCCUUUAAUUGUUUAUGUUUGAAGAUAAGAAGUAAGAACUACUCUCCAAGAUGACAGUUGAACCUGGACCAAAAGUGUGUGUAUCUUGUGAGGGCCAUAUAAGCGCUGGAACGAUCUAUUUUUAGUGCAUUUAUAUCUUUUUUGUUUUAUGACUGAAUAAUGAUACUACUAUUUUUAUCUUACAAAAUUGUUUCAUUUUGGUUUUGAUAUUCAAAACUUGGAUCCCAUUUAUGAACUUUUCGUUAUUACAAGUAAUAAAGCAAUAUUUCUCUUAUCUAUAUAAAUGUGCUCGGUUUAUAAUAUAUUUUAGAAAAUUGGGUUGUUACAAACCUAACCCUAAUAUGAUUAGACCUAGGCUAUAUAUAGAUAUUUUUCAGGGUUAUCUGAAGAAAAAUUUUCAAGAGCCUGAAAAAUACAUCGAUAUUUUUCUCUUCUUCUCCCAUUCUCUCUAGCAUAUUCUCAUCUACAAAUCUCUAGAUCUCAUGUGUUGAGUAAAUAUAGAGAA